GACGAACGCUGGCGGCGUGCUUAACACAUGCAAGUCGAACGGAAAGGCCCUGCUCUUGUGGGGUGCUCGAGAGGCGAACGGGUGAGUAACACGUGAGUAACCUGCCCUUGUCUUUGGGAUAACAUCAGGAAACUGGGGCGAAUACCGGAUAGGAGCUCCUGCUGCACGGGGGUGGUUGGAAAGAGUCGGCGGUGCGGGAUGGAAUGGCGGCUUAUCAGCUGGUUGGGGGGGUAGGGGCUUACCAAGGGUUUGACGGGUAGCCGGCCUGAGAGGGUGACCGGCGACCUUGGUACUGCGAGACGGCCCAGACUCGUACCGUACGCAGCAGUGGGGAAUCUUGCACAAUGGGCGCAAGCCUGAUGCAGCAGCGCCGCGUGCGGGAUGACGGCCUUCGGGUUGUGAACCGCUUUCGCCUGUGACGAAGCCUGCGUGACGGUAAUGGGUAAGGAAGCACCGGCUAACUACGUG
rnacentral:rRNA from 1 species